CAUGCUCCCUGACCCUCUGUCUUGAGGCUGUGAAGAAACCAUGCCUGAGUUGGUGGAUGGGUAUGUAUGAUCUAGGCUUGAACAAUGAAACUGUGGAACCACCCUGGACUUACUGUUGUCUCAGGGAUCAGCACGCAAAAAUUGUUCCAAUCAAAAUAUGUUGGAAACGUGCUGAGCACUGAGUUCCACCUGAGUCUGGUCCCAGGGGAGAAGGAGAGAACUGAUGCUCUUGAGUUCUCUGACCUCCACACGCGACACGUUACGUCAAGCUGAGGACCACCUUACUCCCUAGGCAGAAUUUACUUCUCCUUUGAAUCUGCUCUAGAAAGAUCUUCCUCAACCCCAGCCAUCAAGCAAUGUGGAAUGACACCAGUAGCUAUGAAGUAAAAUUUUUGCUGUUAUUUUGAUUCAGAAAACAUGCUUUCUUCUUUCUUUUCAUGAACCAAUAUUUAUGAAUUAUUCUCGUGUACAGAUGACAUAUCCAUAGUAUGUCACUCUGAAAACAUUGACUAGAGAGCUUUCUGCCCUCUGAUUUUUGUGUAUUCUAAGGAACGAGGGAGAAAAGGUCAGAAUCCCUCCCUCUUUAUGUCCCAAUAAAACUAUCAUCUAAAUUAUUAUUGUAAGCCAGUGUGGCGAUGUGUGAUUGCAACCUCCACA